rnacentral:rRNA from 1 species
UCCAAAUCUUCACAUCCUCUGAGCCCUCUAGAGAUAGAGUUUUUCCCUUUGGGGGACAGAGUGACAGGUGGUGCAUGGUUGUCGUCAGCUCGUGUCGUGAGAUGUUGGGUUAAGUCCCGCAACGAGCGCAACCCUUAAGCUUAGUUGCCAUCAUUAAGUUGGGCACUCUAACUUGACUGCCGGUGACAAACCGGAGGAAGGUGGGGAUGACGUCAAAUCAUCAUGCCCCUUAUGAUUUGGGCUACACACGUGCUACAAUGGACAAUACAAAGGGUAGCGAAGCCGCGAGGUCAAGCAAAUC